rnacentral:rRNA from 1 species
UACGGGGGGGGUAAGCGUUGUUCGGAAUUACUGGGCGUAAAGGGCUCGUAGGCGGCCAACUAAGUCAUACGUGAAAUCCCUCAGCUUAACUGGGGAACUGCGUGUGAUACUGGAUGGCUUGGAUUUGGGAGAGGGAUGCGGAAUUCCAGGUGUAGCGGUGAAAUGCGUAGAUAUCUGGAGGAACACCGGUGGCGAAGGCGGCAUCCUGGACCAAUAUUGACGCUGAGGAGCGAAAGCCAGGGGAGCGAACAGG